GGGAAGGUAGCUCAGUGGUAGAGCAGGGGCCUUUUAAGCCCUUGGUCGAGGGUUCGAAUCCCUCCCUUCCCACCA
rnacentral:tRNA from 1 species